rnacentral:misc_RNA from 1 species
GUAGGUGAACCUGCGGAAGGAUCAUUGCAAAUCACGAGGAGUGGGGUGGGGAGGAUUUAGGGGAGGGGUUUAAGAGUGGAUCUUGAACCGUCUCCUUGAAUGUCUCUUGCUUCCAUCUCAUUUCCACAUAUGCACAGCGUGCUUGGACAAGGUUUGGUUGCAAACGCAUAGUUGGCACUGUUCUCUUGUCCCUGUCGUUGAUGUUUACGCUUGUUUGUUUGACAAAUCUAUUACACUUAAAUAUUGAAAA